GAUGAACGCUGGCGGCGUGCCUAACACAUGCAAGUCGAGCGAGAUAUCCAUGACGAAUUCUUCGGAUGCCUGAAUGGAUGGAAAGCGGCGGACGGGUGAGUAACGCGUAGGUAACCUGCCCUGUACAAAGGGAUAGCCACUGGAAACGGUGAUUAAUACCUUAUGACACCGCAGCAUCACAUGGUGAAGCGGUCAAAGAUUUUAUCGGUACAGGAUGGACCUGCGUCUGAUUAGUUAGUUGGCGGGGUAACGGCCCACCAAGGCGACGAUCAGUAGCCGACCUGAGAGGGUGAUCGGCCACAUUGGAACUGAGACACGGUCCAA
rnacentral:rRNA from 1 species